UACGUAGGGUGCGAGCGUUAAUCGGAAUUACUGGGCGUAAAGCGUGCGCAGGCGGUUUUGUAAGCCAGAUGUGAAAUCCCCGGGCUUAACCUGGGAAUGGCAUUUGGGACUGCAAGGCUUGAGUGCGGCAGAGGAGACUGGAAUUCCUGGUGUAGCGGUGGAAUGCGCAGAUAUCAGGAGGAACACCAAUAGCGAAGGCAGCUCGCUGGGACGUUACUGACACUGAGGCGCGAAAGCGUGGGGAGCGAACAGG
rnacentral:rRNA from 1 species